rnacentral:rRNA from 1 species
GAUGAACGCUGGCGGCGUGCCUAAUACAUGCAAGUCGAGCGAACGGACGAGAAGCUUGCUUUUCUGAUGUUAGCGGCGGACGGGUGAGUAACACGUGGAUAACCUACCUAUAAGACUGGGAUAACUUCGGGAAACCGGAGCUAAUACCGGAUAAUAUUUUGAACCGCAUGGUUCAAAAGUGAAAGACGGUCUUGCUGUCACUUAUAGAUGGAUCCGCGCUGCAUUAGCUAGUUGGUAAGGUAACGGCUUACCAAGGCAACGAUGCAUAGCCGACCUGAGAGGGUAGUCGGCCACACUGGAACUGAGACACGGUCCAGACUCCUACGGGAGGCAGCAGUAGGGAAUCUUCCGCAAUGGGCGAAAGCCUGACGGAGCAACGCCGCGUGAGUGAUGAAGGUCUUCGGAUCGUAAAACUCUGUUAUUAGGGAAGAACAUAUGUGUAAGUAACUGUGCACAUCUUGACGGUACCUAAUCAGAAAGCCACGGCUAACUACGUG